rnacentral:rRNA from 1 species
CUACGGGUGGCAGCAGUGGGGAAUAUUGGACCAUGGGCGAAAGCCUGAUCCAGCCAUGCCGCGUGUGUGAAGAAGGCCUUCGGGUUGUAAAGCACUUUCAGUGGGGAAGAAAGCCUUGGGGCUAAUACCCUCGAGGAAGGACAUCACCCACAGAAGAAGCACCGGCUAACUCCGUGCCAGCAGCCGCGGUAAUACGGAGGGUGCGAGCGUUAAUCGGAAUUACUGGGCGUAAAGCGCGCGUAGGCGGUCUGAUAAGCCGGUUGUGAAAGCCCCGGGCUCAACCUGGGAACGGCAUCCGGAACUGUCAGGCUAGAGUGCAGGAGAGGAAGGUAGAAUUCCCGGUGUAGCGGUGAAAUGCGUAGAGAUCGGGAGGAAUACCAGUGGCGAAGGCGGUCUUCUGGACUGACACUGACGCUGAGGUGCGAAAGCGUGGGUAGCAAACAGGAUUAGAUACCCCAGUAGUC